rnacentral:rRNA from 1 species
GAUGAACGCUAGCUACAGGCUUAACACAUGCAAGUCGAGGGACCGGCGCACGGGUGAGUAACACGUAUCCAACCUGCCCUUUACUCGGGGAUAGCCUUUCGAAAGAAAGAUUAAUACCCGAUAUAACGGAUGGGGAUGCGUUCCAUUAGGUUGUUGGUGCGGUAACGGCCCCCCAAGCCUUCGAUGGAUAGGGGUUCUGAGAGGAAGGUCACCCGCAGUGGAACUGAGACACGGUCCAAACUACUACGGCAGGCAGCAGUGAGGAAUAUUGGUGAAUGGGCGCUGGCCUGAUCCAGCAAAGUAGCGUGAAGGAUGAAGGCUUAUGGGUGGUAAACUUCUUUUAUAUAAGAAUAUGUAUUAUAUGAAUAAGGAUCGGCUAACUCCGUGCCAGCAGCCGCGGUAAUAC